rnacentral:rRNA from 1 species
GACGGAGGAUGCAAGCGUUAUCCGGAAUUAUUGGGCGUAAAGCGUCCGCAGGCGGCAGUUCAAGUCUGCUGUCAAAGACCGGGGCUUAACUUCGGAAAGGCAGUGGAAACUGAACAGCUAGAGUAUGGUAGGGGCAGAGGGAAUUCCUGGUGUAGCGGUGAAAUGCGUAGAGAUUGGGAAGAACAUCGGUGGCGAAAGCGCUCUACUGGACCGCAUCUGACACUCAGGGACGAAAGCUAGGGGAGCGAAUGGG